GGACUGCUCAGCCCUUAGAUAGCAAGUGUGCAUCAGUGCAGGCUUCUGAUGAGCCCAGCAGGAAGCGCAACAUCACAAUGGAGGAAACAACGUACAAAUGGACAGAAGAAAAAACAAAGCAGAUAAACGAUCUACGGAUUAAAAAUGAGUCUCUUCACUAAAAAGAGGAAUGGGAUGGAGAUGAAUGUGACCUUUGCGCUCACCUGGCAGCAGAGCUGAAGAGGUUCACUGGAAAACAUUCACUGAUUGUCAGGAGGUCUCUGCAGUGACAGCUGACAAUGGAUACUGAAGAAAAGGAAAGAAAGAGAGAAACUAUUAAUGUUCAAUGCAGUCAAAUCCAACAGCCUUGCCAAUCCUUCCUUUAUUGAGGUCAUGUUCACAAACUGUUUGAGAGGUGCUAAUUUAAUUUUGUAACUUCAGAGGCUGUACAUUGUGCUGCUGUUGACCUGAGAUGUGUUUCUAAUAUUUACUCUGUAGU